AAAGAUUUUGGCUGAGGAAUCUGCUCUUGGUCAAAACUGUAGAAUGUUCAGCUCUGAUGAGAUAAACUGAGGCUGCUUGGGAGAGAAUUUUUGGAUCUGCCUGGAAUUUGUGCAAUCUGAAAUGAAGACCAUGGAGGCUCUAUGUGAACCACGAGACUAGAAAGAAUGAUGCCCAUUCUCCUGCUUCCAGGAAGGACUGUAUUUUUACACAUAGUAUUUUUGUUCUGACUAUGACAAAAAUACAUACACAUUUUGGAAAGUACAGAAAAUAAUAAAGAAAAUGAAAACAAUCUACAAUUCUACUACCCAAAGAUGAUUACGAUUGGCAUUUGAAAUUUUCUGAGUUUACAAAAAAAUGCCUUUUA
rnacentral:lncRNA from 10 species